rnacentral:misc_RNA from 1 species
GUAUACUGUUGCAACACAAACUACUUAAAUUAAUAUCUUUUAGUACUUCCUAAGUUCCUAUCAAAAAUCUUCAGCCACAAUCUUGUAUCUGAAUUCUAUGACGUUCUAUUUAUUCACAGUAGCACUCCUUGGCUCCUCGCACCUCUAUAAAAUGUGCACUAAAGGAUUUUUGAGCACUAAAUGACACGAAAAUCAAUUGAAAAACCAAAUGAACUACAUCCCUUGAUCUAACAAGAACAUAGCUUGAUUAAUUCCAAUUCAGGCACACCUAGAUAUAUAUAUUCAGGACACCCAAUUAUUUUAAAACAUUACUAUUACAAAACCAAUGGCAAGGGAACCAACUUUCCUAAAAUCAUGACAUUUCUAACAGGCAAGAAGAGAAUUCACAUGAC